AGGGCGUGGGGGCUAUACAUGCAAGUCGAGCGAAUGGAUUAAGAGCUUGCUCUUAUGAAGUUAGCGGCGGACGGGUGAGUAACACGUGGGUAACCUGCCCAUAAGACUGGGAUAACUCCGGGAAACCGGGGCUAAUACCGGAUAACAUUUUGAACUGCAUGGUUCGAAAUUGAAAGGCGGCUUCGGCUGUCACUUAUGGAUGGACCCGCGUCGCAUUAGCUAGUUGGUGAGGUAACGGCUCACCAAGGCAACGAUGCGUAGCCGACCUGAGAGGGUGAUCGGCCACACUGGGACUGAGACACGGCCCAGACUCCUACGGGAGGCAGCAGUAGGGAAUCUUCCGCAAUGGACGAAAGUCUGACGGAGCAACGCCGCGUGAGUGAUGAAGGCUUUCGGGUCGUAAAACUCUGUUGUUAGGGAAGAACAAGUGCUAGUUGAAUAAGCUGGCACCUUGACGGUACCUAACCAGAAAGCCACGGCUAACUACGUGCCAGCAGCCGCGGUAAUACGUAGGUGGCAAGCGUUAUCCGGAAUUAUUGGGCGUAAAGCGCGCGCAGGUGGUUUCUUAAGUCUGAUGUGAAAGCCCACGGCUCAACCGUGGAGGGUCAUUGGAAACUGGGAGACUUGAGUGCAGAAGAGGAAAGUGGAAUUCCAUGUGUAGCGGUGAAAUGCGUAGAGAUAUGGAGGAACACCAGUGGCGAAGGCGACUUUCUGGUCUGUAACUGACACUGAGGCGCGAAAUGCUGGAACCGCC
rnacentral:rRNA from 1 species